UACGGAGGGAGCUAGCGUUAUUCGGAAUUACUGGGCGUAAAGCGCACGUAGGCGGCCUGAUAAGUCGGGGUGUGAAAGCCCUGGGCUCAACCCAGGAAGUGCACUCGAAACUGUCAGGCUUGAAUAUGGAAGAGGGUCGCGGAAUUCCCGGUGUAGAGGUGAAAUUCGUAGAUAUCGGGAGGAACACCAGUGGCGAAGGCGACUGACUGGACAAGUAUUGACGCUGAGGUGCGAAAGCGUGGGGAGCAAACAGG
rnacentral:rRNA from 1 species